ensembl:lncRNA
GCCCUCCUCUGGACACGCUCCAGGGCCUCGAUGUCUUUCUUACAGUGAGGGGCCCAAAACUGGGCACAGUACUCGAGGUGGGGCCUCACCAGUGCUGAGUACAGGGGGACAAUCGCGUCCCUAUUCCUGCUGGCCACACUAUUUCUGAUACAAGCCCGGAUGCCGUUGGCCUUCUUGGCCGCCUGGGCACACUGCUGGCAGUGUUCAGUCUAGCGUCAAUCAACGCCCCCAGGUCCAUUUCCUCUACACAGUCUUUCAGGCACUCUGCCCCAAGCCUGUAGCGUUGCCUGGGGUUAUUGCGGCCAAAGUGCACUCUUGUGCCACGAGAGCUCUCCCGCUUCUACCUGCGAUGUGAGACCGUAUGGAAAGCCCUGCAGAUGCCUGGGUAGGUGAUGUCCGUUGCUCUUCCUUUCCCCACCAGUGCUGGACAUAGUGGGGAACGGGACUGGGGGACAUCCCAGCAGCGGGUUCCUACCUCAGCCAAACCGAAGGGCUGUUCUGAUCCGUGUAUUUGAACUGGAGUGAAUCUGAUGCCAAUUAGAGAAAUGAGGGCCUGUGGAAAAAAAGGGAGUGUGCUGCAUUUUGUGGUGCAAGAUGUUCUGGGCACUGCUGCUAACAAUGCCCGGAGGCUUCCUUUUUGAUGGGGAGAGGCUUAGCAAGGACUUCUUCCAUGAAAGGGGUUCAUCAUCUAUUUCCUUGUCAUUGACCUUUCCUACUACUGCUUGAGAAAUUAAUGUUUCUUGCUGUAGGGAAUACACAUGCACCCUGCACUUGUAUCUGCACAAAGAAUCUUCUAAGCAUCUCUGUACGUGUUUCUUUUUGGCACUGGGAUGGAGCUGUGUGGAAGACAGACUUGGAUGAACCUUCAGUCAGGUGCAGAUGUCACGCUGACAGCAGCAGUAGAGAGGCAAAUUUCAUAGGGUUGCAUGCUUUUUUUUUUUUCUUUUGUUUCAGUGAUAACCGUGGAAGCAUACAAGCGUUACCCAGACAAAAUGAGCGUUUGUCACCUGGGCUUUCUACAAAUGACAUAGGCAGGGGAAGUCAGCAUGGGAAGCAUCCGUGAGAGCCCUGCAAAAGAAUGAUGAGAGUUCCCCUGGUGGCCUCCUUUGGCAAUCUCAGGUCUCUGUAAGCUCUCAAGCUGUGUCGUAAGUCCUCCCAUGGUGCUGACUCAGCUCUCCCUGUCUUUGGUGCUGGAGAGCUGGACUUCAACUCCUUCCUGUUUUCCUGCCUAUCUGCUCCCUGCUUUGCCCAUGGCCCAAGGAGCCUUUUAUUCCUCGCCCCC